rnacentral:lncRNA from 1 species
GUAGCUGCUCCGCUUACAUCAAGUUGGCUUCAAGAUUUAGAGAGACUAGAGGCAUUAUAGUAAACACAUUUGUAGAGUUAGAGACACACGCUAUCACAUUGUUUUCCAAUGACGACCGAGUCCCUUCACUGUACCCAGUCGGGCCAGUGAUCGACCUGGAUGACGGUCAGGCACAUUCCAACCUAGACCAGGCACAGCGCGACAAGAUCAUCAAAUGGCUUGAUGACCAGCCUCAGAAAUCUGUUGUGUUUUUGUGUUUUGGUAGCAUGGGAAGCUUUGGGGCAGAGCAAGUGAAGGAAAUAGCUUUAGGGCUUGAACAAAGUGGGCAGAGGUUUUUAUGGUCCCUGCGCAUGCCGUCCCCCAAAGGCACCGUCCCAAGUGAUUGCUCAAAUCUUGAAGAAGUUUUGCCAGAUGGGUUCUUGGAGAGGACCAAUGGGAAGAAAGGGUUGAUAUGUGGGUGGGCCCCACAGGUGGAGGUCCUGACCCACAGUGCAACCGGAGGGUUCUUGUCGCACUGCGGGUGGAACUCGAUCUUGGAGAGCUUGUGGCAUGGCGUCCCUAUUGCGACGUGGCCCAUGUAUGCAGAGCAGCAGCUCAAUGCUUUCUGGAUGGUGAGGGAGUUGGGGAUGGCGUUGGAGAUGAGGCUGGAUUACAAGACAGGCAGCGCUGACGUGGUGGGGGCGGACGAGAUUGAGAGGGCUGUGGUUGGUGUGAUGGAGAAGGAUAGUGAGGUGAGGAAGAAGGUGGAAGAGAUGGGAAAGAUGGCUAGAAAAGCUGUGAAGGAUGGAGGGUCUUCAUUUGCUUCUGUUGGGAGAUUUAUUGAGGAUGUGAUUGGUGAGAAUUAGGGUUUUAAGUAGUGGUUGUUAAUUUUUUAAGUUUAAGAACUCAUGAAUGUACUAAUUUUUCCUUGUUCUUGUAUGUUGAUUGAUGCGAUGAAAGUUAAGCACGCACAUUAAACCCUAUUUUGACAAUUGUAGUAUAUGUAUAAGUACGGAUUAUUCUGGACCGGGGAUUAGGAGGGAUUGCUAAUCUAAACUAAACUGACUUACAAAAAGAAACUUAAAAACACUUAACUAGACUCUAUAGACUCAAAACACUUAAAAACACAAACUAAAACAAAUUCUAACUAAUUAGACACACUAAAGUAAAGGGGAAUUGAGUUUUGGACGAAUUUGAAAUAAACAAGCAAGUUAUAAAACUAGGCAGAUUCUAAAAUGAAUUUGAGAAAUAAAAUGAUGGAUGAAUUAGUUAGAGGUCCAUUCUUCACACAUGACACUCUUGUACAUGAAUCGAUUUCCAAUUGCUUUUUAAUAAACUAUUAUGCUGAACACCCCAGAUUAACCGUGAUGCACAAAUUAACCAUCAGAUUUUCAUUUACUCAUUGAAUUGGAUGAAUGCAUGCGACAACCUAAAUCAUUAUCUAAAAGUCCCCUAUAUGAAUGCAUAAUAGAGAUACAAUCAGAGAUCAUUACGUUCAAUGAAAAUCAUAAGUGUUGACGAGGCAAUUAUAACUAUGAAUGCAUGAUACAAUUGCCAAGAAUUCAAUUAACGUGAUUGUGAUAAACAACCUUUACUACUCAUGAAUAUAAACUUGUAACGAUUAGGUGAAACUCAUUUAUAUUCUAGCAUCUAAUUCAUGCAUGAAAAUUAAGUAUGCAUCCUUAAUAAACAUACAAGAAUCAGUUAUGAAUAAAAUAGAUAAUUGAAUUGCAAUCACAACUUAUCAAAUCACAAUUGGAAGAAAUCAAUUCAUAUCUCAAGCAUGUUCAUGGCUUCAAACUUCCCCCUAACUAAAUGGGGGUUUAGCCACUCAUAAUUGCAACAAAAUCAGAAAAUGAAUUUAACAUUGAAAACAAAAGAAAGAAAACACUUAAACGCUCAAACGAUUCAAGUUGACAGCACGCACGUCCAAGCAUUUUCUUUUCCUUCCUUUACUACGGCACAAGGUGUUGGUAAAUGUUUGAAGGUUUGUUUGUAUGGAGGAAUGGAUGUAAAUAUGAAUGGAUGUGUUUGGAUGAAGGUUGUAUUGAAAUGGGAGUGAAUGAUCUAAAAAAAUAUAUGAACUAAAUUUAUGUUACACACACACUUCCUUUUAUAGAGGAAGUGCAAGACAAUGGAGGGGGACAUAGAGUGGUGUUGAAAUGAUUCAAAGGUGAAAGUGAAGUAAUGAUGCAAAGGUGAAAGUGAAAGUGAAGUAAUGAUGCAAAACAUGGGUAAAAUGGAGUGGUGUUGAAAUGAUUCAAAGGUGAAAGUGAAAGUGAAGUGGUGUUGAAAUGAUUCAAAGGUGAAAGUGAAGUAAUGAUGCAAAGGAUGAGGGGUAAAAUGGAGUGGUGUUGAAAUGAUUCAAAGGUGAAAGUGAAGUAAUGAUGCAAAGCAUGAGGGGUAAAAUGGAGUGGUGUUGCAACAAUGAAUGCAAGUAGGGAACAUGAAUGAUUGUGCACAUGGUAGAGAAAGGAAAGAGAGGUGGAAUGGUGUAGAAAUGAGUCAAGGGUUAAGGUGGAUUGAUGAUUGAUGCAAGAAAUUUGGAAUGAUGGAGGGAACAAGGGUGGUGCUCGGCAAUGAGUGAAUGAAAUAGACAAGGAAUGUUGUUGGAACUUAGGGACAUUGAGGAUUAGGAAAGAUUAGAUCAAAAUAAGGUAAUCUUGACUCAUGUUUCUUCUUUGGUUGCUGAGCUCUUUGUCAUUAAUUAUUCUUUAUUUUUAACACAUUUCAAGCCUCUUUAUUCUUCAAUUUCGUCCAUCCACCUUGCUCCAUGCAUGUGCUAUCCAUUCCAAGCCCAAAACUGCUCCAAAAUGCAGCAAAAUUGUACCUUAUUGCUUUAUAAGGCCUAUGGACCUACAAACACACGAAAAUAACUUAAAAUACAUAAUUAACUAAGAAAUAACAACAUAAAUGAAUGAGAACAAGCUAACUCAGUUGCAUAAAUAUGCUCCUAUCAUUGAUUAUGAAUUUAUCAGCUUGUAAUUUAUAUGUUUUAGUUCUACAAUGAUAAAUCAAACAAAACGAUUUUGUAAAUUUGUUAGGAAAGAGGGUUUUGGAGUUUGUGACAUUGAGCCCCCACGUUGUCGGAUGAGAUUUAAGUUCAAAUCUCGCGGAUGAAAGUAGUUGAAUAACAUUGCUUACAGAAAACGGGAUUUUGUAAAUUCAUCUUCAUACCCUGCUUCUUUGUGUAAACAUGUAUCAAGCCACCAAGACAAUUGCUCUCAAUUGAGCACAGGCUGCCAGAGUACUAACUAGAGUGACUUCGUCAGGUUUCGGGCUCUUCCUUUUCUGCAAGUCAUGAAAAUCGCCAAAGCCUCCUUUGGCUUGUCACUUUGUUCAUAAGACGAAAUGAGGACAUUCCAUGCAGCAAUGUCUUGACCAGGCAUUGCAGCGAAAACCCACCAAGCCUCAUCAUAAUUUCCUGACUGAACAUACCCAUCAAGCAUUGUAGUCCACGAGAAAAUAUCCUUCUCCGACAUCCUAUCAAACAAUCUUUUCGCUUCCUCAAUGCUCCCACAUUUCACACACAUAUCAAGCAUAGCAUAGCAUUGUUCAAAGUCAAGUUCUCUCCAUUUUCAUUCCUUUCAAUACAAGAACAAACCCACCUCCCAAACUCCAAAUCCACCUUCUUUGCGCAAGCUGACAACACACUCACCAUCAUUCGGCUUCACAUUCUCCUCAUCCAUCUCCUUAAACAACUCCAAGGCUUCCUCUGGACAGUUCCUCUGCGCAAAAGCCGUGAUCAUAGAAUUCCAAGACACAACAUCUUUCUUAGUAGUCUUCACGAAGACCCACCAUGCGAAAUCCAAAUCCUCGCAUGACCCAUAGAAAUGAACCAGAGAAUUGAGAAUAUCAACAUCCGAACCAAGCGAGGCCUUUAUCACCAUGCCAUGAAACCCUCUUCUGAGCUUCAAAACUCGGAGCUCUGAAGCCGCCUUGAUCACAAACGGGUAAGUAAACUUAUUGGGACUUUCCACACAGCAAUAAAGCAUUUCCAGAAGUACAAGGAUGCUUUCAGUCGGGUCGGUGCUCGACGCAUAAGCGAGUAUGAGGGUAUUCCAAGAUAAGAGAUUUGGUUGAGGAAUUUGAUCGAACACUUGGCAUGCAUAGCGAGGCUGGAGCUGGAGAAGAGGGCACAGGUGGUGAUAAGCUUGCUGGUGGAGUAAGGGUCGGAGAGAAGGCCUGUACAGAGCAUUUGGACGUGGACUUGCUUCAGCUGCUUGAAGCUGGUGCAGUGGUCGAUUGAGGAAAGAGGUGGGUCGCUUGAGAAAUGAAGGUCGUUAGUGGCGGUUGGGGAUGGAAGGUUUGGUAGGUGACGUGGCAGAGAGAUAAGGUGGGUGCUUAGAGUUGCCAUCUCUUCUAUAGUCACUCAAGCUCGUGGUUUUUUAAGAGCAACUCCAGCGUGAGAGCUAUUUCCAGGCUAUUCACUAUUUAAUCCAUCUAAUCAAUAGUAAUUACCCUUAAUAAAUAGUAAUUACCUUAGCAAUUGUUUUUUGCAUCUCCACCCCUGCACUGAAUAACCUUGGCAAUUGGCAAUAAAAUAUUAAUAUAUUUUUUUUAAAUUAAUAUUAUAUUAUUAAUUUAUAUUUUCUUUUUGGUCUUCCCGAAACUUCUACCAUUUAUCUUUCGUCUUCCUUCCCACUCUCUCACUCCCCUCCCUUCUCUCCUCUACGCCCACCUAACCCUCUUCGAUCCCCUGCACAUCCAACAUUCCCCUCCUUCUUCGAUUCCACUCUUCUUUCCCCUGAUCCUUCCCUACCCUACCCACCUCUAGCUCACCACCAUACCCUAACCCCACCCAUUUGACGGCCGGUGGUCAACAAAACCCAGAUUUACGGCCAGAGAGUCGGUUUGACGGCGGUGGAGAACAAAACCCAAUGGUCGGAGAAGACGGUGGUGGGGAGCACAAACCAAGCGGCCAAAUCAAUUUUUUAAUAUUUUCAAUUUUUCUUUAAAUUUUUGCGUUGAAUAUGGCCUCUGUUAUGGAAUAUUUGGUCUGAUUUGGAUUUUUUUCUACAUUUAUUGUGGAUUCGGAUCCCAUAUGCCAUCAGUCUCGGCGACGAACUUCGGCGAGAGCUGUUAAGUUUGAAGCCAGAGUUUUACAUUUUUUUAAUUUUUUAUUAAUUUUUUUUAUAUUUUUAUUAAUUUUAUAUUAUGGAUGACGUCGUCCUGACGUCAGCCCACGUCACAUGGCCCUCAGGCUCUCGGGCUGGCAAUCCUUGCUGGGCAUGUUGCUCGGGCCUCGCCUGUCCCUUGGGCUCCCAUACGCUAGACCCUAUCCCCCCAGCAAUUUGGCCCUGUUUGCUGGCUUGUCCCUCGAGUAACCUCCCCCGUUGGAAUUGCUCUAAUUGCUCGAAGGAGGUUGUAGCUUGUGAGAACGCUCCUUAAGUUUUUUGAGGAGGAUUGACCUCAUGGAAUAAGGAUUCUCUCUGGAUCCUCAAAUCGUGUUCGUACAUCGUAUAUUAUGUGGUCAAUUUUUAUCAAGUACUAUUCAUAUUUAAUUUUAAAUAAAAGUAUUUAAAAUAAUUUAUACGAUGAAUAGACACGAUUUGAAGAUCUCUAAGAUCCUCACGAAGAAAAUCCAGAGAGAAUCCUCAUUCUUUAGACUUAACCAAUGAACCUAUUUAAAGUGACUCAUUUUGUACUAGAGAAGCAUGUGCAUGAACAAUGGAUUCAUUUUACCUUCUUAGGUGGGGAAGUUCUAGAAACAUUUCCAUACUUUGUGCUUGAAGUAUUUCACUUAAUUUUCUCUACAGUAUUGAACUUUGGCGAUAUUUAUUAUGUACUUUUAGGACCCGAGUCUCCAUUAUUUGAUUAUUCACUUAAUCUUGUUAGUUAUAGGUGCUUUUCUUCUAGUAUUCAAGACUCUAAGAACACAUCUCUUCUUGUGGAUACACAUAAUAUUUUGAGUUUAGUGAAUAUAAGAUUCGAGUGAAUGGAAAAGAAAAAACAAAAGAUCAAUUCCACUUUGAAGAAACACAAUAUAAAAAUAGACUUGUUUAUAAAAUUUAUUAUAUAGAUGAGAAUCAAGAACAAGAAAAUUCAAAGUCAAAACUAUUUAAAAAAAAGAUAUUUUUUCGUUCGAAAAACGUAUUGUGAUUAUUUUUUUUUUUACAAUAAUCGUUAAAAUCGCCCAUUACGAUAUAUAGAAAACAAUCGAUUUGAAAAGUUUGAAAAUUUUGAAAUGUCACAAAUUUUUUUUAGUAUGUCAAAGUGAUGGAAAAGAAAGAAUAUCUUUUACAUAUCCACCAAGUUUCUAUUUUUGAAAUGAUACAAAGAGAUGUCUCUGUUCACAAAAGAAGUGUUCCCCUUUUAAUGAAUUUUUAUAAGGGUAAUGCAAUGACGUGUCACCAAUAGAAAGUGACAAUAGAAAGUAAACACAUUAAUCAAUACUUAAGUAAUAAUUCAAUCAUCAACAACUACAUCAUUGUAUUUAUAAAAUUUAAUUUAAAAUUUUAAUCUCUCUAGUAUUACUCUUUUUAUAAUCACUAAAGUUGCAAUAUCCUACGUGAUAAUUUCAAAUGAUCAGUAGGCGGUAAUGCAAUAUCCUACAAAAUAAUUGUGGUUAGGUACCAUCUAGCCAGAAAACUGAACUUUUAUGUGUUUUUUGUGUGGCUAGUUUUUCUGUUCUUGUUGGUUGCUGCCAUGGUCUUUUGACUCUUUUCGCAUCUAUCACUACAAGAAAAACUGGGACGUGAACUGGUGGGCUUAUAUUCAUUGUGGUGGGUUGAGUAUAUUGGUUUUACAAGCAAUGUUAUACUUACCACAUUUAUAUUACAUUUUUCAUGGUAGUAGGACCAACUAAUACAUGUGAGCCUUAUUUUUAUUAAAAAUAAUACAAAUAUGAUAUGAUAAAAAUAACAUUUUUUUAGUUUUAUUUGAGUGUGGGGGCAUGUACCCAGUCUUGCCUUAUAGCUAGGAGAGGUAUUUUAGUGUGUCAAAAACAAACGUUGCACUAAGUGUAAUAAUAUAACUAAUCGAAUUUCUUAUUUUAAAGUUCUAACCAAUUGUAUUAUAAAAAUGAGUGUAGCCGUGUUGCUGGUAUUGAAAAAAUUCUCCCAGCGGCAAAAUAGACAGAGUACUUAAGCAAUGAUGUAGGGGAGGGCCAUAUAAUGUAUUAGUUUAAUAUAUGCAAUCAAAUCCUUUUGCCGUACACUUUUUCCGCAUUUUGCAGUUUAAUACGUAGUUCAAAUCAAGCAUUUGUAUCUAAUAGAAGAAGAACAUCACUAUAUUUAUGUGUGGUUGAUGUGCAAAGAAAGUAGUAAGUAGAAACCAGAAAGAGUGAAAGAACAACCGAGAAAGAUGAAGAAAGUGGAACUCGUGUUCAUCCCAUCACCAGGAGCAGGCCACCUUGUACCAACGUUGCAAUUCGCAAAGCGUUUGAUCGAUCGCAACGACAGAAUUUCGAUCACCAUUCUUGCCAUCCAGUCAUCCUUCCCAACCACUCUAAGUUCCUACACAAAAUCGAUUGCAACCUCAGAACCCCGAAUCCGAUUCAUUGAUGUCCCACAACCUCAAGAUCGACCUCCGCAAGAGAUGUACAAGUCACGAGCAAAGUUCUUCUCUCUUUACAUUGAGAGUCACGUCCCCAGUGUCAAGAAAAUCAUCACCAACCUCGUCUCCUCUAGUUCUAAUAGUUCAGAUUCGAUUCGUGUUUCUGCUUUGGUAGUUGAUUUCUUCUGUGUGUCCAUGAUUGAUGUGGCCAAAGAACUCAAUAUUCCUUCUUAUCUUUUCCUGACAAGCAAUGCAGGAUAUCUAGCUUUCAUGCUCCACCUUCCAAUUCUUCAUGAAAAAAACCAGAUUGCUGUUGAAGAAUCCGAUCCUGAAUGGUCAAUCCCAGGUAUGUUUGUGACAAUCACAAGUUCUUUUGGAUGCGUUUAACAUAAUUUUUUUAAGUGUUUCUGAGUCAUAAAAGCUCUUUCUAGAGAAGCACAUGCAAGUGGUUUCUUCACAAAGCAUUUCAAGUCCCUUUUGAGGAAGCAAUUGACUUUAUAAUAAACAAAAAUCAACGUGUCAUAUGAAAUCAUUUCUAGCAUAGGUGCUUACGAGUAAAAGUGCUUUGCAGAAGAAAUUUCACUGUAUCAAACGAGUACAAUGCUAUCUCCCCCCAAAAAGACAAACAUGUCCAAUGUUUAAAGACGCGUUGUAACAACAUAUUUUUAGAUUUCAUUGCAGUUGAAAAGUUUCGAUUUCUUGGAGUUGGAUUCUUACACUGAAAGUUUUCGACACUUAGGUAUUGUCCACCCGGUUCCUCCUAGAGUUUUUCCAGUGGCUUUGACAGAUGGUAGCUGCUCCGCUUACAUCAAGUUGGCUUCAAGAUUUAGAGAGACUAGAGGCAUUAUAUCAAACACAUUCGUAGAGUUAGAGACACAUGCUAUCACAUUGUUUUCCAAUGACGACCGAGUCCCUCCAGUGUACCCAGUUGGGCCAGUGAUCGACCUGGAUGAUGGUCAGGCACAUUCCAGCCUAGACCAAGCACAGCGCGACAAGAUCAUCAAAUGGCUUGAUGACCAGCCUCAGAAAUCUGUUGUGUUUUUGUGUUUUGGUAGCAUGGGAAGCUUUAGGGCAGAGCAAGUGAAGAAAAUAGCUUUAGGGCUUGAACAGAGCGGACAAAGGUUUUUAUGGUCCCUGCGCAUGCCGUCACCCAAAGGCACAGUCCCAAGUGAUUGCUCAAAUCUUGAAGAAGUUUUGCCAGAUGGAUUCUUGGAGAGGACCAAUGGGAAGAGAGGGUUGAUAUGUGGGUGGGCCCCACAGGUGGAUAUCCUGGCCCACAGUGCGACCGGAGGGUUCUUGUCACACUGCGGGUGGAACUCGAUCUUGGAGAGCUUGUGGCAUGGCGUCCCUAUUGCGACGUGGCCCAUGUGUGCAGAGCAGCAGCUCAAUGCUUUUAGGAUGUUGAGGGAGUUGGGGAUGGCGUUGGAGAUGAGGCUGGAUUACAUGACCGGCAGCGCUGACGUGGUGGGGGCGGACGAGAUUGAGAGGGCUGUGGUUGGUGUGAUGGAGAAGGAUAGUGAGGUGAGGAAGAAGGUGGAAGAGAUGGGAAAGUUGGCUAGAAAAGCUGUGAAGGAUGGAGGGUCUUCAUUUGCUUCUGCUGGGAGAUUUAUUGAGGAUGUGAUUGGUGAGAGUUGGGGUUUUAAGUAGUAUGGGUUGCUAAUUUUGUAAGUUUAAGAAAUCUUGAAUGUACUAAUAUCUCCAUGUUCUCGUAUGCCGUUUAUGAAUUUAUCAGCAAGUAAUUUAUAUGUUUUCCUUCUACAAUGAUAAAGCAAACGAAACGAGUUUGUAAAUUUGUUAGGGAAGAGGGACUUUGGAGUUUGUGACAUUUGAGUUCCGACGUUGAAUCUCGCCAAUAAAGUAGUUGAAUAAGAUCUCGGAAAAAAAAAAAUGAGAAAAAUUGGAGUUGAAUAAUACUAUGCCUAUAUUAAAAGAUUUUGGUUAUCACAUAUUAAUCAAUGAUAUAAAUGCAUAUACAAGGAUAGAUGAGAAUCAUAUGAGAAAAGAUCAAGAAGCUUCCAGAUUUUUACAAAUUGACAUCUUUUCUUGCAGACCAAGAACUUCAGUUUAUCAUUUACUCAUUUCUUGCUAUCAAAUUAACCAUAACUUCACUACCCCAAAUCAAACCUAUUAAUCUCCUCGAAGAAGAAACGAAAUGAAACCAACCAUCUCAGUAAUGUCAAUUAUUUGCUAGUAACACGGUGUCGACGCUUAAUCCUCUGCGGUUUCAACUAAAUUGAAGAAACAAUGACACAUGUUUGGGUUACAUGAUGCAAAUGAACAAAUUCGGUAUAUCCUGUAUAUCGGUUUCAUCAUGCUUUAAUAGAGAUUCAAACAGAUUCAACUCAAUAUUAACAAACUAACAAACUCUUUGCAUUUGGAUGAUUAAGUUUAAAAUGAGGAUUAAUAUCGUUUUGUUUACGAGGAUUUUUACUGAGUGAACGAAAUAACAUUUUCAUUUUGGUGACUUUGAUCCAACACAGUUGAUUUCACUAAUCCAGACCUAUCUUCCUCUAAAUUCUCUAAACCAUACAAUCCUAGUGCAACCAAACUCGAAUCUCGUCAAUGAUGAGUUAGUUACCAAUUUGUCCUCCAAGUGGGCUUAUAAGUUACAUGCAUUGUGUGGGGCUGGGACUAUAUUGAUUUUUGAUUCACGUACUAGUUUAAUACAUUAAUUACAUUAACAUUGAACAAAAGUUUAUGCAGUGUGGGGGCAUAUGCCCACUCUUGGCCUUAGGUAGGUCCGCCAGUGAGAAAAAUGAAAAUAAUAGUAGGUGAGUAAUGACGUAGGGGAGUAGAAAAUUUUCAUUGUGACGGGAAUACGGAUGGUACACCACGUGUUUUUAUGUAAGUGGUGAGAAAUUUUAUUUUUUGAGAGAUUAAUUUUUUAACACACAUAUCUCACCAUUUGUAUAGUAACACGUAAUGUACCACCUUGUGUAGUGAUUACACUGGAAAAUCUCUGGUACAGAAGGGCCAUAUAAUAUUAACACAUGCAAUCAAUCCUUGUUGUUUAUUUCUGUCCUUUAAUUAUGUAUAUUAUUGUAUUAAUGCGUAAUUCAAAUUAAGCAGUAUAAUAUAAUUUCUCCGGUGUGAGGCAGAUUGUUUGCCCCUGUAUAGAUGCCCUUCUAAUCUUCUUUUAUUUUGUGUGGUCACGGUUAAUUCACGUUCAUAUUUUAUAUUAAUUUUUUUAUAAUGAUAAUAAGACAAAAAAUAAUAAGAAUAUAAAAUAUUGACGUGAUUUAACCGUAACUGCACAAAUAAAAAAAAUAAAAAAGGUAUCUAAACAAAUAGGAGGGUAGACAAUCUUCCUUUUUUGCCCACUCUUGGCGUUAGGUAGGUCCGUCAGUGAGAAAAAUGACAAUAAUAGUACGUGAGCAAUGACGCGAGGGAGGGCCAUAUAAUAUUAAGUUUAACAAAUGCGGUCAAUCCUUUUUCUGUACUCUUUGUCUCCUUUUCACACUGUUUAUGUUAUUUGAUUAUGUAUAUUAUUGUUAUAAUGCGAAAUUAAGCACUAUGAUAUAAACCAGAAAGAGUGAAAGAACAAGUCAGAAAGAUGAAGAAAGUGGAACUAGUGUUCAUCCCAGCACCAGGAGAAGGCCACCUUGUAUCAGCACUGCAGUUCACAAGGCGUUUGAUCGAUCGCGAUGACAGAAUUUUGAUCACCAUUCUUGCCAUCCAGUCACCCUUCCGGACCACUAUAAAUUCAUACACAGAAUCGAUUGCAGCCUCAGAACCCCGAAUCCGAGUCAUUGAUGUCCAAGAACCUCAAGAUCAUCAACCUCCACAAGAGACGCACCAGUCACCAGAAAAAUUCAUCUGUCUUUACAUUGAGGGUCACGUCCCCAAUGUCAAGAAAAUCAUCACCAACCUCGUCUCCUUCAAUGCUAAUAGUUUGGAUUCGAUUCGUGUUGCUGCAUUGGUGGUUGAUUUCUUCUGUGUGUCCAUGAUUGAUGUGGCCAAGGAACUCAAUCUUCCUUCUUAUCUUUUCAUGCCAAGCAAUGCAGGAUAUCUAGCUCUCAUGCUCCAACUUCCAAUUCUUCAUGAAAAAAACCAGGUUGCGGUUGAAGAAUCCGAUCCCGAAUGGUUAAUCCCAGGUAUGUUUGUGACAAUCACAGGUGCUUUUGAAUUAACCCCUUUAGCACCAACAAGACAAAAGUGUUCAAUGUUUAAAGACACGUUGUAACAGCAAAUUUUUAGACUUCAUUCCAAUUGAAAAUUUUUGAUUUCUUGGAGUUGGAUUCUAACGCUUUGAAAAUUUUCGACAACUAGGUAUUGUCCACCCGGUUCCUCCUAGAGUUUUGCCGAUGGCUUUGACAGAUGGUAGCCGCCCUGCUUACAUCAAGUUGGCUUCAAGAUUUAGAGAAACUAGAGGCAUUGUAGCAAACACAUUUGUAGAGUUAGAGACACAUGCUAUCACAUUGUUUUCCAAUGACACCCGAAUUCCCCCGGUGUACCCAGUUGGGCCAGGGAUCGACCUGGAUGACGGUCAGGCACAUUCCAACCUAGACCAGGCACAGCGCGACAAGAUCAUCAAAUGGCUUGAUGACCAGCCUCAGAAAUCUGUUGUGUUUUUGUGUUUUGGUAGCAUGGGAAGCUUUAGGGCAGAGCAAGUGAAGGAAAUAGCUUUAGGGCUUGAACAAAGUGGGCAGAG